rnacentral:rRNA from 1 species
CAAAACCGAGACGGUGAGUACUAACCUCCGCCUCGUGGUGGUUCCUUCCUUCGGGUUGGUAUCGCCGCGUGGCGUUGGGAGCGUAGCCGCAGUAGGUCAGCGCAGGGGUGACACGGAAUGGGAGCCGGCCGCGGAGGUGGUCUUCCGUGGUCAAGCACGCAGGGCGUGGGACAGGCAAAUCCGUCCCGCAUGGGUCCGAGGUGCGAUGAUGGGGGCCUUAUGGCCCGAUAUCCGGUGAUCCCGGCUGCCGAGAAAAGCUUCGGCGUCAGGCUCGAAGCCGCCCGUACCCCAAACCGACACUGGUGGUCAGGUAGAGAAUACCAAAGCGAUCGAGCGAAUCCUGGUCAAGGAACUCGGCAAAUCACUCCCGUUCCUUCGGUUUAAGGGAGACCCCCGAUGGUGAACACACUUGCUGUGGGAGCUUUUGGGGGUGGCACAGACUAGGGGGUAGCGACUGUUUACCAAAAACACAGGUGCAUGCGAAGGCGCAAGCCGCUGUAUAUGCACUGACGCCUGCCCGGUGCCGGAAGGUUAAGAGGAUCCGUCAGCCUUCGGGUGAAGCGGUGAAUUCAAGCCCCGGUAAACGGCGGUGGUAACUAUAACCAUCCUAAGGUAGCGAAAUUCCUUGUCGGGUAAGUUCCGACCUGCACGAAUGGCGUAACGACUUCCCCACUGUCUCGACCAGGAGCUCGGCGAAAUUGCAGUACGAGUAAAGAUGCUCGUUAAGCGCAGAAGGACGAAAAGACCCCGGGACCUUUACUAUACCUUGGUAUUGGCAUUCGGUGUGGAUUGUGUAGCAUAGGCGGGAGGCCGAGAGGCGCGGUCGCCAGAUCGCGCGGAGCCGUAAGGUGAAAUACCGCUCUGUUCGCAUUGGAUGUCUAACCUCGAACAGUCAUCCUGUUCAGGGACAGUGCCUGGCGGGUAGUUUAACUGGGGCGGUUGCCUCCCAAAGAGUAACGGAGGCGCCCAAAGGUCCGCUCAGCCCGGUUGGCAAUCGGGUGGCGAGUGCAAGUGCACAAGCGGGCUUGACUGCGAGGACGACGGUCCGAGCAGGGACGAAAGUCGGGACUAGUGAUCCGGUGCCGGUGUACGGACGCGGCAUCGCUCAACGGAUAAAAGGUACCCCGGGGAUAACAGGCUGAUCAUUCCCAAGAGUCCAUAUCGACGGGAUGGUUUGGCACCUCGAUGUCGGCUCGUCGCAUCCUGGGGCUGGAGCAGGUCCCAAGGGUUCGGCUGUUCGCCGAUUAAAGCGGCACGCGAGCUGGGUUCAGAACGUCGUGAGACAGUUUGGUCUCUAUCCUCUGCGCUCGUUGGAAUGCUGAGGAGGCCUGCCCAUAGUACGAGAGGACCUGGGUGGACGAACCUCUGGUAUGCCGGUUGUCACGCCAGUGGCACGGCCGGUUGGCUACGUUCGGAAGGGAUAACCGCUGAAAGCAUCUAAGCGGGAAGCCUGCUCCAAGAUAAGCAUUCCGUGGAACCUUCGAGUUCCUGUAGUCCCCAUGCAGAACACGUGGUUGAUAGGCCGGACGUGGAAGCCCCGCGAGGGGUGGAGCCGACCGGUACUAACGGACGAAAGGCAACACUA